UACGAAGGGGGCUAGCGUUGCUCGGAAUCACUGGGCGUAAAGCGCACGUAGGCGGAUUGCUAAGUCAGGGGUGAAAUCCUGGAGCUCAACUCCAGAACUGCCUUUGAUACUGGCGACCUUGAGUCCGGGAGAGGUGAGUGGAACUGCGAGUGUAGAGGUGAAAUUCGUAGAUAUUCGCAAGAACACCAGUGGCGAAGGCGGCUCACUGGCCCGGUACUGACGCUGAGGGACGAAAGCUAGGGGAGCGAAUGGG
rnacentral:rRNA from 1 species